rnacentral:lncRNA from 1 species
UGAGGGUGAAAUGAGGGGUUGGGGGUAAAGAUGGGGGUUUGGGGUCCCCCAAAAUGUCCGUUUUUGGGGGUUAAAAAUGGUCGAUUUUAGGGUUAAAAACGGCUGAUUUUGGGGUUAAAAAUGGGCGAUUUGGGGUUUUUGGAGGACCAGCAAAGGGGGAAACCUCUGGGUUUGGGGUCCUCCAAAAUGACCGUUUUGGGGGGUUAAAAAUGGUUGGUUUGGGGGUUUUGGGGGUCAAAAAUGGUCGAUUUUAGGGUUAAAAACGGGCGAUUUUGGGGUUAAAAACAGGCGAUUUGGGGUUUUUGGAGGACCAGCAAAUUGGGAAACCGCUGGGUUUGGCGUCCCCCAAAACAACCGUUUUUUGGGGUUAAAAAUGGGCGAUUUGGGGUUUGGGGAGGACCAGCAAAUUGGGAAACCGCUGGGUUUGGGGUCCCCCAAAACGACCGUUUUUUGUGGGGGACGCUUUGAGGCUGGAAGGGACAAGAAGCGAAAGCACUGGGACGUUUUGGGGUAAAAAAGGCCCCUUUUGGGGUUUCCCCCCCCGCGCAGACAGCCCCGCUGCCCUCACCCUCCGCGUGCUGCCGUCCCCCAACGUGAGCCACGGGGGGAGCUUCAGCGUGGAGUGCGGAGCCGAGGGGGUCCCGACCCCCACCUUUGGGUGGGCGCUGCCCCCUGCCCCCAACCUGCGCUUCGGGGCCGACAACCGGUCGGUGGAGGUGGAGAACGCGGCGGCCGUCAACCGCGGGCGCUACACCUGCGUGGCCGUCAACCGGCACGGCCGGCGCGUGGGCAGCGUGGUGGUGAGCGUGGAUGAGAGCCGGCUGUCCCUGCUGCUGUCCCUGUCCCUGCUGGGUUCCGUCACCGUGCUGGCAGCGGCCGCGUGGGGCAUUUAUUACAUGAAAAGCACCGCCUGUAAGAAGGGAGAGUACAACGUGCGCGACGCCGAGGGUUCCUCUGAGGCCUCCCGCCUACACCGGGGGGACAGCGGGGGACAACGGGAGCUGUUUGGGAUCCCUCUCACCCCCACCUGAGGGACCACAGCACCCGGGACCCCCGGAGCACGGGGAGGUGGGGGACAGCGUGGUGACACCCGGCCCGAGGGAUGGUGGUGGGUGUCACCGUGCUGUGCCUGUGGUGGUGGUGGCUGUCACCGCGUUGUUCGCAAGAAGCUGUGUUGGUUGUCGUCGUAUGUCCCCAAGAAAUGGUGUUGGUUGUCUCCAAGGAACGGUGUUGUUGGAUGUCUCCAAGAAACGGUGUUGGAUGUCACUGUGCUGUCACCAAGGAACAGUGUUGUUGGAUGUCCCCAAGGAACGGU